rnacentral:rRNA from 1 species
AACGAACGCUGGCGGCAGGCUUAACACAUGCAAGUCGAGCGCCCCGCAAGGGGAGCGGCAGACGGGUGAGUAACCCCUGGGAACAUGCCCAAAGGUACGGAAUAUUCUCGGGAAACUGGGAUCAAUACCGUCUGUGCCCGAAAUGGUAAAGAUUUAUCGCCUUUGGAUUGGCCCGCGUUGGAUUAGCUAGUUGGUGGGGUAAAAGCCUACCAAGGCGACGAUCAAUAGCUGGUCUGAGAGGAAGACCAGCCACACUGGGACUGCGACAAGGACCAGACUCAGACGGGAGGGAGCAGUGGGGAAUCUUGGACAAUGGGCGCAAGCCUGAUCCAGCCAGGCCGCGUGGAUGAUGAAGGCCUUAGGGUUGUAAAAUCCUUUCGUGGGGGACGAUAAGGACGGUACCCAAAGAAGAAGCUGCGGCUAACUUCGUGCCAGCAGCCGCCGUAAGAC